UGCUUUUUCUCAAAAUUGUCCAUUGUUUUGACGUGGUGGUGGACUGCCCGAUAAGGGGACAAGCUUAAUCAUUGUCCGGUCAUCUGGAUGGUUGGGCCUAUUUUUAUGCAUGCCUCAGAUUUCCCAGACGCGUGAGAAGUUGGCAUGUGUGAACUAGAGAGUUUAAUGGUGUGUAUAGGUAUCUUUGUAGCUGCACAUUUAAUCGGCAUGGAUUGGUAAUAUGGGUAAUGUUGUAUUUAGCAUAAUUACAUGUAUCAAUAUUGUCUACCCACAAGCCAAAUCUCUCUCUGUAUGUGUGUGUGUUUUAAGUCUAUACAAGUGAGGUCCAUAGUUCCAAGAUCCAAACUGUUGACAUGGUGGGCCUCAAUUUGGAUGGCUCUCGCAUUGGCAAUUCUCUAAUUGGAAAUCCUAACAGUUUUAGUGGCCAACAGAUAGAUGAUCAAGGAAAAAAAAAGAA